CCAAUAUAAACGAUCUCUGGAGUCAGCAGCUCAGCAGACACGUCGGACGGGAUACUCUGCCUGGAAACACCGCAAACUAAUCGGAACCGGCGGCCGACAGAGACGGACGACUCUCGCAGGAGACGAGGGGUCGACUAGUUGUGAUUUGUUCUGUUGGUGACUGUGAUGAUGGGAGGAGAGCAGAGCCAUGAGAGGGAGGAGAGAGAGGAGAAGACUGAGCAACAACAGGAAUCUGCAAACACAGAUGGCUCGGGGUCUGCGUCUGCUGAAGACACACCAGGAGAGCUCCCCCAGUGCCAGAUGGGAAACAGGAGAGUGGACAAUAUGUGUUUCAUGAUCUCAUGCACCAACUGGUACUAAAAUGAACUGAGUUUAAGAGAAAAGAAGAAGCUGGAGUGACUUCUGUGCCCGAUGCCGCACUUCAUGAACUCAAAAUCCAAAAAGAUGCCAUCAGGAAGGUCCAACAUGCCUGGGUCUACUUUGGAAAAGACUUCCUGAGAGUGGUUUGAAGAUGAGCAGGGACCUUCUUUAAUGCUGGCUGUUUUACAGAGUGAAGAUGAAAAAAGAGGAGCCUAGUAUUCCCUAGUAUUCUGAAUUUCCUGAGGGAACCUUCCCAAAGGAUUAAUAAAGUAUCUAUCUAUCUAUCUAUCUAUCUAUCUAUCUAUCUAUCUAUCUAUCUAUCUAUCUAUCUAUCUAUCUAUCUAUCUAUCUAUCUAUCUAUCUAUCUAUCUAUCUAUCUAUCUAUCUAUCUAUCUACUUUCACACUAAAGACUGUUGGUUCAGUUUAACAACUAUAGGCUAAAGAGAAUACAGACUGUAAGUAUGUCCUAAGUAUUAAACCACAUCCCAUAAAUGCUCCUCCCUAUGAAACCCUGUUAAAAUAUUUGAAUAUGUUUUUGUUUUCCCUCUCUUAACAGGAUGAACCUGUUUUAAAUGUCUCUUAUGCUCUUACCACACCAGUAUAUCUGAGUCAUGAGGUAUUCUCCUCCUAAGAAACUAUCAGAGACCAACAGCUGACAGUCUUGACUCUUAAGCAAAGAAUAACCCUUUAAAAAAACUGAAACAGGAGGCAAUGAGGCAAUGAGAGUCUCUUCAAGAAUUGAUGUCAUAGACAUAGGUAUCAGAUAUUUUAAUGCUUAUAUGCUUCCUUUAAAACAAAAAAAAAGGAACCAAUUCAGAGAAAUGGGGAAUUAAAAAUGGUGUGCUGUUGUGUUAUUAUUUUUUGUUGUUGAAUAAAGCGUUCCUUAACUCUG